UACGGGGGGGGGCAAGCGUUGUUCGGAAUUACUGGGCGUAAAGGGCUCGUAGGCGGCCAACUAAGUCGGACGUGAAAUCCCUCAGCUUAACUGGGGAACUGCGUCCGAUACUGGAUGGCUUGGAUUCGGGAGAGGGAUGCGGAAUUCCAGGUGUAGCGGUGAAAUGCGUAGAUAUCUGGAGGAACACCAAUGGCGAAGGCAGCCCCCCUGGGAUAACACUGACGCUCAGGCACGAAAGCGUGGGGAGCAAACAGG
rnacentral:rRNA from 1 species